AAUAUUGGACAAUGGGGGAAACCCUGAUCCAGCCAUCCCGCGUGUGUGAUGAAGGCCUUCGGGUUGUAAAGUACUUUUGGCAGAGAAGAAAAGCUAUCUCCUAAUACGAGAUACUGCUGACGGUAUCUGCAGAAUAAGCACCGGCUAACUACGUGCCAGCAGCCGCGGUAAUACGUAGGGUGCAAGCGUUAAUCGGAAUUACUGGGCGUAAAGCGUGUGUAGGUGGUUCGGAAAGUAAGAAGUGAAAGCCCAGGGCUUAACCUUGGAACUGCAUUUAUAACUGCCGAGCUAGAGUAUGGCAGAGGGGAGUAGAAUUUCACGUGUAGCAGUGAAAUGCGUAGAUAUGUGGAGGAAUACCGAUGGCGAAGGCAGCUCCCUGGAAUAAUACUGACGCUCAGACGCGAAAGCGUGGGGAGCAAACAGG
rnacentral:rRNA from 1 species